rnacentral:rRNA from 1 species
CCUACGGGAGGCAGCAGUGAGGAAUAUUCGUCAAUGGACGAGAGUCUGAACCAGCAAAGUAGCGUGAAGGAUGACUGCCCUAUGGGUUGUAAGCUUCUUUUAUAUGGGAAUAAAACAGGGUAUGCAUACCCUCUUGUAUGUACCAUAUGAAUAAGGAUCGGCUAACUCCGUGCCAGCGGCCGCGGUAAUACGGAGGAUCCGCGCGUUAUCCGGAUUUAGUGGGGUUAAAGGGAGCGUAGGUGGAUUGUUAAGUCAGUUGUGAAAGUUUGCGGCUCAACCGUAAAAUUGCAGUUGAAACUGGCAGUCUUGAGUACAGUAGAGGUGGGCGGAAUUCGUGGUGUAGCGGUGAAAUGCUUAGAUAUCACGAAGAACUCCGAUUGCGAAGGCAGCUCACUGGACUGCAACUGACACUGAUGCUCGAAAGUGUGGGUAUCAAACAGGAUUAGAUACCCGGGUAGUC